AUGCCUCCCUCGCCCUCGCCCAUGGCCAUGGACAAUAAAGCAAAGGAACGUUUUCUUCGUUUCCGUCUCCCUGUCCUCGCCUCCGCUCGCCGCUUCGCAAUGGCGAGCGCGGCGACGGCGAACGACAUCUCAGACAACCAUACUGUCCCUCCUCCCCCUCGCGCUUCCAUGGCGUCCCCUACGAGGGCAUCUCGUCCAAUGUAGGCGCGGGAGGGCGGCGCCACCGCCACCACCAACGGCAGACAGGGUGGAGCCAGGCAUGCAUUCAUCACUAUCCCUAGUUUCCUACCACUGGCGACGAGAGGUGCAGAGAAGGUUAGGGUCUCGGGAGCAUACUUAUCCGCGUAUACGUUCGACGGCGUAUCGCACGGAUCUACGGCAUUCUUGGCGCCGGCCGCUCGGUGUGUUCUUGAUGAAUUUUGCGAUGUUAUUUUCCUAGAGUGCAAUUUGUUGUGCGGAGGAUCUUUGCGAAUUCUCCAAUGUUUGGAACCUUUUAACUUCUUUUUUCUCUCAAGUUUUUGGUGAUUUCAGUCAGAGACUAGAAAACAACAGUAGGGGACUGAAAGGUGGGUGUAUUUUGAGGUAAUUCUUCUGUGGGUUCUUGAGUGGCCACAGACCCACAGCGUGGUUGAUUCUGAAGUCCAUACCUUGUGAGAUCAUGCUCACUGCUGUUUUUUACAACCUCCAGUUUGCUUGAAUGGUACCUGUGGUUGAAUUCUUGGAAUGCUCUUCUGCACAGGAGUCAAGGUUUGGUACCCUGAAAUUGUUCAUUCGUGUGCUGUCUGCUGUCGCUUAAGGCCAUGAUAAGGUAGUUCGUUUUUCUUUUCUUUUUCAGAAUGCGCGCUUGAUUGGGGAAUGUGGUUCGAUUUGUGCGUUGUUUGUUGCAGUUACUGAAUAUGUUUGGUUGGUCUGUUGAUAAGAUGAUGUGGACCGGAUCUGGCAUUGUGCGAAACGGGGCCAGAUUUGCACCCUAAGUUUUACAGCUACCAGACUAGAGGCUACCUGUUGAUCCUUUGGUGUCAGCAGAUAUGCUACAACAGCAGAGAGUACACAUCAAAUCGUCGUGUUUGGUAUAAGUAUAUGUUGCAAUUUCCUCUUAUAUGGCGAUAAUCUCCGCUUUCUCUUCUUUUAUUACCUUGUGCGAUUGUAAAAUCCUUGAAGCCUGCAAAAUUCUUGGCGCUUCUCAACAGGCCGCUUUUCUAGUAAAAACCACCACAACGACUAGAGGGAGCAUGAUGAGCAAUUAUUUCCUUGUGUUCGAGCUAUCAUGGGGACGGCUGAAAGCCUGAAAUCACCAUCAUUCAGAAAAAGGAAAACCA
rnacentral:lncRNA from 1 species